GACGAACGCUGGCGGCGUGCUUAACACAUGCAAGUCGAACGGAAGGGCCCUGCUUUUGUGGGGUGCUCGAGUGGCGAACGGGUGAGUAACCCGUGAGUAACCUGCCCUUGACUGUGGGAUAACUUCAGGAAACUGGGGCUAAUACCGGAUAGGAGCUCCUGCUGCAUGGUGGGGGUUGGAACGUUUCGGCGGUUGGGGAUGGACUCGCGGCUUAUCAGCUGGUUGGUGGGGUAGUGGCUUACCAAGUCUUUGACGGGUAGCCGGCCUGGGAGGGUGGCCGGCCACAUGGGGCCUGCGAUACGGCGCAGACGCCUACGGGAGGCAGCAGUCGGGAAUAUUGUACAAUGGGCGGAAGUCUGAGGCAGCAGCGCCGCGUUCGUGAUGACGGCCUUCGGGUUGUAAACCGCUUUCGCCUGUGACGAAGCUGUAUUGACGGUAAUGGGUAAAGAAGCACCGGCUAACUACGUG
rnacentral:rRNA from 1 species